ACGAACCCACAAGGGUUAGUGGCGGAAGGGUGAGUAAAAGUAUCGAAUGUACCCCGAGGUGGGGGAUAGGCACGGGAAACUGUGCGUAAUACCCCAUGAUCUCGCAAGAGCAAAGUUACAGCGCCUUGGGAGCAGCGAUAUACCUAUCAGGUAGUUGGCGGGGUAAUGGCCCACCAAGCCGAAGACGGGUAGCCGGUGUGAGAGCACGACCGGCCACAUCGGGACUGAUACACUGCCCGGACUCCUACGGGAGGCUGCUGUAACGAAUAUUCCGCAAUGCGCGAAAGCGUGACGGAGCAAUGCCGCGUGCAGGAUGAAGCGGUUUCGCCGUGUAAACUGCUGUCAGGAGCUACUAACCAUGAAGAGCUCCAGAGGAAGGACCGGCUAAUCUCGUGCCAGCAGCCGCGGUAAUACGAGAGGUCCAAGCGUUAGUCGGAAUCACUGGGCUUAAAGGGUGCGUAUGCGGGCCUGUAAGUGCUUUGUGAAAUCCCAUGGCUCAACCAUGGAAUUGCAGGGCAUACUGCGGGCCUCGAGGAAUCUAGAGGCCGGUGGAACGAUUGGUGGAGCGGUGGAAUGCGUAGAUAUCUAUCGGAACGCCAAAGGUGAAGACAGCCGGCUGGGGCUUUCCUGACGCUGAGGCACGAAAGCGUGGGGAUCAAACAGGAUUAGAUACCCUGGUAGUCCACGCCCUAAACGAUGCGCACUAGACCGAUGCGGCUCUGACGUCGUAUUGGUCGUAGAGAAAUUGCUAAGUGCGCCGCCUGGGGAGUACGGUCGCAAGGGUGAAACUCAAAGGAAUUGACGGCGGCUCACACAAGCGGUGGAGCAUGUUGCUUAAUUCGAAGCAACGCGAAGAACCUUCCCCGGGUUUGACAUGCACGGAUUAGUCGUUGGAAACAGUGAUGUCAUUCGCAAGAUUGGAACGUGCACAGGUGCUGCAUGCCGGUCGUCAGCUCGUGCUGUGAAGUGUUUGGUUAAGUCCAUUAACGAGCGCAACCCUUGUCGUUAGUUGCUAACAGGUAAUGCUGAGGACUCUAGCGAGGGGCCGGCGUCAAUCCGGAGGAAGGUGGGGAUGACGUCAAGUCCUCAUGGCCUUUUCAUCCGGGGUGGCCAACGUGCUACAAUGGUGCAUACAGAGCGAAGCAAGGCCGCAAGGCGGAGCAAAUCGCAUAAAAUGCACCCCAGUUCGGAUUGAAGGCUGCAACCCGCCUUCAUGAAGUCGGAAUCGCUAGUAAUCGGAGAUCAGCUACGCUCCGGCGAAUACGUUCCUGAGC
rnacentral:rRNA from 1 species